rnacentral:rRNA from 1 species
CCUACGGGAGGCAGCAGUGAGGAAUAUUGGUCAAUGGGCGCGAGCCUGAACCAGCCACGUAGCGUGAAUGAUGACUGCCCUACGGGUUGUAAACUUCUUUUAUAAAGGAAUAAAGUGAGGCACGUGUGCCUUUUUGUAUGUACUUUAUGAAUAAGGAUCGGCUAACUCCGUGCCAGCAGCCGCGGUAAUACGGAGGAUCCGAGCGUUAUCCGGAUUUAUUGGGUUUAAAGGGAGCGUAGAUGGGUUGUUAAGUCAGUUGUGAAAGUUUGCGGCUCAACCGUAAAAGUGCAAUUGAUACUGGCAGCCUUGAGUGCAGUUGAGGUAGGCGGAAUUCGUGGUGUAGCGGUGAAAUGCUUAGAUAUCACGAAGAACUCCGAUUGCGAAGGCAGCCUACUAAUCUGCCACUGACAUUGAUGCUCGAAAGUGUGGGUAGCAAACAGGAUUAGAUACCCCUGUAGUC